ACUCGCUCACAAGCUUAUGAAUAAUUAUAUUGCAGCGAAUGCGUUACGACAGGCACUGUCAUUGUGUGAAUAAUUAAUGAUAUAGUGAUCCAAGCAUUACGUCGAGUUUGCCGUAAGCUUACCUCAUAGCCAUCAUAAGCCAGGUACGCUGACGGAAGGGUAACGUAACCACACGGAAGAGCCAAAAAGUACUAUGGAGGAAUACAAACGCAAAAGCAGCAGCAGUAACAACAACAGAAAACAGUUUUGUUAGAUAAAUGGCCUUGGACAAAAGUCUUUAUAACUGCAAUAACAUAAGUUAGUGGAAACAGUGUCAGGCUUUCCCAGAUGGAGACAAUAUAGUGAGAUUAUUCACCCAGUGUUUAUUCACAAGAUUGACCGAAGCUUAUUUAGAUGACCAAAUUAUGAACAAUGACCCACCCUGAGGCUGUAAGAGUGUGCCUGAUGAGAGAAUGCGUACUUGAAGCAGUUAUAGGACUUAAUAUAUUCAAGAAGACCAAGCGAUCCUUAUAGGACUACAUGCAAAGCAAUGUACUCCAGACCGCACAACUGGACAUACAGAUUGUGCCCUGAUGCCAUCUGCCCCGUUCUCCCAGCCUCAUCUUCCCUCUCUAUGCCUAGCUUCACAUCGGUUGGCUCUUCUUUGGCUCUCUUCAUCCCGUCUGCCUGCCUCGCUGCUCUCCCUGAUAACAUUUCCUGACUGAUGCCUUGCACUCUGACUCUUUCUGCAAGGUGCCAUUCUCAGCAGUGACUCAAUUUAGUGCCACCCUGCUGCUUGGCAUUGCACUUCUGAGGUCAUCACCAUCUUUCUUCAGCCAACCAAAAUGAUUCUCACCAACCACCCCAGCUCUGCUAAGCUUGAUGUUGGAGGUCUGCUGUUUUUGAAGCAGGGGACCACUGUCCAUUAAAGGCUUCAUAAACCAUUUAACAAAAUCACAUAAGAUAUAGUUCAUACUCCAUGCGAUGUGCAAUACAAUGGAAGGGCCAUGUUCCUUAUCACAUCUGGAUACUGCAAAGCUCCUGUCUCCUCAACAAUUUACGAACUAAUCAAUUAUUAAAUGAAGAAAUGCUAUGGAAAAGCAAAGAUAUUUCUUCCUGUGGAGUUUGAGUCUUAAAUUUAGUAAUUACUGUUUAAUGGCAUAAAUAAAAGUUAAAUAUUAUGUUA